GCCCCCCUUUUAAAUCCACCCUUGAUGUCACAUAUAAUACUACCUCUUUUUUUAUAGCACUUUUAUCACAGAUUUUAGUGUUUUUGGAAGUUUGUGUUUUUUGCACUUGUAUGUUCUGUAAUCAGGGCUGUAGCUCUGAUGAAGCGAGUGAGGCGAUCACCUCAGGUGCGCUGUUGCAAGGGGGCACAAGGGGGGUCCAGCACUCAUUACACUGAGGCAUUGCCAGGACAUUCUGGUGGGAAAUAUGGUGCUAACAUUUUUAGAUUUUUCUGCCCAGGCCUGCGCACCUGAGAGUCACAAGCGUGCAGCCAGGCGGAGGGAAGUCUGUGUGCCGGGAUGCUGGGAUGGGUGAUGCUGCAGCUCCAUUUCUCGUGUCUCCUCCCUCUCCUGUGGAGCAGCUCUGGACUCUGGAUUCUCCCUGGUCCCUCAGCAGAAUGAUGUGGAUGGAGGGAAGGAGCAGUGGCAGCGUUGACAAAGGCCUACUCUGCUUCAGGUGUGUGAGCUCUGCUGCUGCUCCCUGCUGUCUCUUCUUCCCUGCUCAGCAUGACCAUCACCACAUGGGAGGUGCCAUUUCGAGAGGGAUCUCGGCCAGCAAUUCAGGCUGCAAUGAGCUGUGUGUGUCGCUUCCCAGGUGGCUCCUCUUUUUUCUGAUAACAACAGAAGUCUGAUCCACUGAGGGACAGAGUGACUUCAACGCUGUGCCUAAUACGGUUUCAUAUUGCACGAACGGCGCUGAUCUUGCCUCUCAUCACCUUGCUAUGUGGUUUUCAGCUAUGGGCCUGCAGGAUGUCUGGCAUUGGAAAUAUUCAACCAGGAGCCCUGGCUGCCGUCGGACCUAUAGCCGAUGCCUAAUGGACAAUUGUUUCCUAUUUACUCUCGGACUUUUUACUGUUUUUGUCUGAGAGCAUAUUGUUUGCACUUUUUGCAGUAUACCUCUCGCUGUUGCAUACAUGUUGUUCAAUGUUCUUGUUGUUAUGCAAAAUGUCAAAAAUAAAAAAUAAAAAAAUAAUUAU